rnacentral:sRNA from 1 species
GGUUUCAUCCUCUUGCCAUCACCACGAGCAUAUUAAAAAAAACAGGAAAAAUUUAUAAGGUAUAUUUGUAAUCACAGCUUGUGUCUUUAUUUCGAAGUGGAUGUCUGCAUCAAUGACAUGUAUUUGCUUUAGAAGAUCGUCGCUUCAGUGAUAACGAUGUGGAGCGACGAUAGAGACUUAUGUGAUGUUUUAGCGGGCAGCUUAAUCAAUGCUGUUGGAUAUCUACCAGUUCAGAGACUGAACAGACGAAUAGACGAUAUUCUGUCAAAAAUUCAUCACUACGGGAGAAUUGUAGAAGUUAUUUUGACCGGAAGUUGAUCUGAGGGUUUCCGAAUGAAUGAUACUCUUGUUGAUAGAAUGUAUGUUGAUAGGAAAACACUUGCAUCGGAACAUCCAGAAGAUAUUCCGAGCAGAUUUGUGCUGUAAAAAUGGAAAAGUCUUCAUCAAUUCCAAAAGGGUAUGUGAAACUUGUAUUGGUGACUCCAAAUAAAUCGGGACAGAAUUUAGAUGCAGCAGUGGUACGGGAUGGCGGAAAAUUGUACAUAUCCAGCUCCGCUUACAUAUCGACUUUUGUUCAGGAGGAUAAGGAGCCCCACGGGCCUUGUGUCAGGAGAGUGUCGCAACUUGGAACGGAGCAAGAUGACGCGCAUUGUCUGAAAUGUUCUCAUUGGCCGUCAGACGCAAUGGAAUGGUACCAUAGAAAAAGACCCCAUGGCUGGCCGGAUCGUCACCUUUUAAAAGACAUAUACAAAAAGGGAUGUCAUUUGGUAGCAAUUAGUUCCAAGUUGGUCGACAUGUACAAUGGAAGCUGUACAUUUGAUCCUAUGGAAUGGAGAUUGUCGUUUUCAGUUGCCGAGAAAAGACUGGUUUAUACUUUUAAUGAUACCCAGUUUAUUGUUUAUGGGAUUUUGAAGCUUUUGGUAAAGGAAGGAUGUCGUGGUAAAUGGGAAGUUGUGUUCUUAUUUCAUGAAAACUUUGAUGUUCUGGACCAUCGAAGAGACUCCAAAAGAUCUUUGGAGAAAAGAGCGUUUGGUGUCCUGUAUUGAGAUCUGUUUCAAGCGACUAAUUGCGUGGGUGGAUAAUGGCUUCUGUCCCAACUAUUUUGUAAGGGAAAACAAUAUGUUCCAUGGCAAGUUGCACGAAGAUGCCCGCGAGUCGAUAUUUAUGAAUCUGUCGGAGUUAUACGGAGAAGGCUGGAGGGGUCUACUGAGGUGUCCGUCCCUUGAAAAUCUCCGACAGGCCCUUGAAGGAGCAAGACAUAGUAUACUUGAUAGUCCAUCAAGCGCUAUCGAUUCGAACGAAGAAUUUAAAUCAUUGAGUAUGCAAUAUAAAAAUGAUUCUCGUUCUUUCCCGGAGGACGUAGAAGACAGAGCGUUUUUUUCUCAACUGGAAUCAAUCGAAAAAACCCAUCCAAACUUUAGAAUCCUUGAGAAAGAAUUUUUCAACACUAUUGCUCUAUUACUAAGAGAAGAGUCGCAUCUCGAUUAUUUGAUGCACGAUACGGUGACAUUGUAUCAGUACAGAGUCUUACAACACAUUGCUUUAAUCUUCUUCUACAAAGGUCUGAAUGACUCUAGCAGGUACGCUCGUUUUCGGUAUCGACAAAUCAGACGAGCCCUGGGUUUACUGGAAGAAACCUGCUCUGCCGAUAUCAGCAGAGGAAGACUAUCGCUAGCGACGGCGUACUAUUGCAUGGGAGACUACACUAAAGCUCUAAAAUUCAUCCGACAAUACGAAAGCACAAUUGAGAACGAUCAAGGUAUUAUUUACAUCAGUUCGCGCUAUCCGAAUGAUACAGAGGGAGCAUACAAGGAAAACUUCUGUAAAGGAAAUUUGACGAAAAUGAAAAAGGCGUCCAUGGGCAUCUCCUACGAUUUUGAGAUAUUUCGAGCGAUGCCAGUAUAUCCAAAAGAAAUAGGACUGGAAAUACUGCUUGUGAAAAGUACUUCGGCAAGAGUGUCUAUCCCUCCACCCCCAUACGCCAUCUUUCUGAAGGCAAUGUGUUUCGCCCAAAAAUGCAAUUUCAACAAAGUGAAAAUUUUGGAAAUAGAACUUUCAGAUUGUCUUUCCUUUGCUCACAAGUCUGCUCUUCACCUUAUAUAUUUAAUGUUGGGUGUGUGUGACGUAAAAUUGGACCAACAUAACGAAGCACUGCGUCAUUUUUAUCAUGCCUACCGGCACAAGAAGAUUUUGACAUGGCGGCAUAGUCGCUGUGACGAGUGGGACUCGGUCCAAGCGCCUCUGUUAUACGUUGUUAUGCAGUUAAGACUCCUGAUGUGAUGUCCUUACUAUUGUCUUUUACUAAUUAACAAUUUUUAAUCGUCAAUGACCCAUAAUCAUUGACAAUUAAAAAUUGUUAAUAAGUAAAAGACACUAUGGUGAAAAAUAUGAAUCGUUGAGAUUUGAUGAGUGGUCGUGAUCGAAGCCACAUGCAGGUCUACUUGAUGUGUGCACACAAUUGUUGUAGUACAUGGACUUGGAUUAGUCAACAUAAGCUUCUAACUUUGACCAUUUCAAAAUCAUCUGAUUGAGGUUACUUUUCCCUUCUUUUUUUUUUGUGAGCGCCUUUGCGUAUGUGUCAUAAAUUGUUCCCAAUACAUAUUAAACUCGAUUUCAAAAGCAUCCGUUUCAACCGGCUAAGUUUAUUUAGGCAAAAUUCUAAUGUUAUCUUAUUAUUCGUAAUAGCGAUGCAUCGCACUCAUUGAAUAUAAUAAGCUUUACAGAAUGUUUAUUUAUAGUGAGUGAACUGAGCUAUAGUAUUUUUUUCCAUUGAUAGUUGUUCUACCUAUUUUAGGGAGAUAAAAUACGUUGCUCGGGUAUAUGUGGCGCUUUUUAAAAAAAUUCAUAUACAUGUAUGUAUGUUGUGAGAAUUUGGUUGUGUAAAUACAUAUUGCUAUAU